rnacentral:rRNA from 1 species
UACGUAGGGUGCAAGCGUUGUCCGGAAUUAUUGGGCGUAAAGAGCUCGUAGGCGGUCUGUCGCGUCGGAUGUGAAAAACUCGGGGCUCAACCCCGGGCCUGCAUUCGAUACGGGCAGACUAGAGUUCGGCAGGGGAGACUGGAAUUCCUGGUGUAGCGGUGAAAUGCGCAGAUAUCAGGAGGAACACCGGUGGCGAAGGCGGGUCUCUGGGCCGAAACUGACGCUGAGGAGCGAAAGCGUGGGGAGCGAACAGG